UGGACGGGGUUCGCGUUUUGUGCCUUGC
rnacentral:sRNA from 1 species